rnacentral:rRNA from 1 species
UACGGAGGAUCCGAGCGUUAUCCGGAUUUAUUGGGUUUAAAGGGAGAGUAGGCGGGUUGUUAAGUCAGUUGUGAAAGUUUGCGGCUCAACCGUAAAAUUGCAGUUGAUACUGGCAUCCUUGAGUACAGUAGAGGUAGGCGGAAUUCGUGGUGUAGCGGUGAAAUGCUUAGAUAUCACGCAGAACUCCGAUCGCGAAGGCAGCCUACCGGCGCGCAACUGACGCUCAUGCACGAAAGCGUGGGUAUCGAACAGG